rnacentral:rRNA from 1 species
UGGGUUGUUAAGUCUCUUGGGAAAUCUGACGGCUCAACCGUCAGGCGUCUAAGGGAUACUGGCAAUCUUGGAACCGGGAGAGGUGAGGGGUACUUCGGGGGUAGGAGUGAAAUCCUGUAAUCCUCGAGGGACCACCUGUGGCGAAGGCGCCUCACCAGAACGGCUUCGACAGUGAGGGACGAAAGCUGGGGGAGCAAACCGGAUUAGAUACCCGGGUAGUCCCAGCCGUAAACGAUGCGCGUUAGGUGUAUCGGUGACCACGAGUCACCGAGGUGCCGAAGGGAAACCGUGAAACGUGCCGCCUGGGAA